AUUGAACGCUGGCGGCAGGCCUAACACAUGCAAGUCGAACGGUAACAGGAAGAAGCUUGCUUCUUUGCUGACGAGUGGCGGACGGGUGAGUAAUGUCUGGGAAACUGCCUGAUGGAGGGGGAUAACUACUGGAAACGGUAGCUAAUACCGCAUAACGUCGCAAGACCAAAGAGGGGGACCUUCGGGCCUCUUGCCAUCGGAUGUGCCCAGAUGGGAUUAGCUAGUAGGUGGGGUAACGGCUCACCUAGGCCACGAUCCCUAGCUGGUCUGAGAGGAUGACCAGCCACACUGGAACUGAGACACGGUCCAGACUCCUACGGGAGGCAGCAGUGGGGAAUAUUGCACAAUGGGCGCAAGCCUGAUGCAGCCAUGCCGCGUGUAUGAAGAAGGCCUUCGGGUUGUAAAGUACUUUCAGCGGGGAGGAAGGGAGUAAAGUUAAUACCUUUACUCAUUGACGUUACCCGCAGAAGAAGCACCGGCUAACUCCGUG
rnacentral:rRNA from 1 species